UACCACUUUGUGAGUCAUGACUGGGGUGAAGUCGUAACAAGGUAACCGUAGGGGAACCUGCGGUUGGAUCACCUCCUUACCUUAAAGAA
rnacentral:rRNA from 1 species